AGUUGCCAGCAGUUGAAGGUGGCACUCUGGACGAGACGUCGGCCGUUAGACAAACGGAGGAAGGGUGGGACGACGUCAAAUCCUCAUGGCCCUUAUGGUAGGGCUUCACACGUCAUACAAUGGUCGGUACAGAGGGUUGCCAAGCCGCGAGGUGGAGCCAAUCCCUUAAAGCCGAUCGUAGUCCGGAUCGUAGUCUGCAACUCGACUACGUGAAGUCGGAAUCGCUAGUAAUCGCAGAUCAGCAUGCUGCGGUGAAUACGUUCCCGGGUCUU
rnacentral:rRNA from 1 species